AUAGGUUUGUCAUUGGUUUUCGUUCCCAAAGCCAACAGCCCCAAAGCUGCUUCUAAGAAGGGAAAACUUACCAAUGUGGCUAUGACAUAAAUGCCUGUUACUUUGUGCUCUUUCAAAAUGAACAGUGAAGAGGAAGUAUGGGGAAAACUCGAUGCAGAAUUCGAUCACUGUGUUGUGGAUAUGAAGCCUCAUGUUCUAAAACUACAGCAUAGGUCAGAACGACAGAGAUGUGCACUGUGGAUUAAAAAACUAUGUGAACCCUCUGGAGCGGGCACAGGAAUAGUGGGCAGGAAGAAUCGGAACCUAUAUGCGAAACUCCUGCUCCACAUGCUAAAGCGAGGUGUGCUAGAAGGUCCUUUUACACAUAAACCAGAACCAGGAAUGCUGAAAACUUUACCUUCGUACAUGUCGAUUUAUUUUGAUGAACCAAAUUCAAGAAGCGUUCGGAGUAGUACCCCAGACUGUUUACCUGACUGGGUAAUGGGAGAACUGGGAAACAAUGGCUCUAAGCAUGAGGUGUCAUGGAGUACAUCUUCUACAGAGGAAUUUUCUUUAGCGACACCACCUGCAUAUGGGGAAAGAUUCAAGUACAAUGAGAAGCCAGCAUUAAGAUCGCAUUCUAUGAGUCCUCCUCACCGGACAGCUGAAGACAACCCAGCCACACCACAGUCGGACCAUCGUCAUAAAAAACCCAGUUCUUUGGAUGACAGCGACCUCGAAGCACGCCUCAAUAGUUGGAAUCUUGGGUUAGAAAAUCCAAGAUACUUGCGAGAAAAACCAAUGCCAGUGUCUUUGAUGACACCCAAAAUGGGCCGAGGAAGAAGCAGCCCUGUACGUGAUGAGCAGGCGCUGUUUCGAAGAGAGCUGGACAUUAAAAUGAAAAUAGCAGAAGGUAAAUUUCAUGAAGACAAACUUAAAUUACAGCAGAAGCAUGAUGCUGAUGUUCAAAAGAUUUUGGAUAGAAAGAAUGAUGAAAUAGAAACCUUGAAGUCCCUCUACAAAACCAAACAAAAUGAAGCUGAGGAGACCAUUAGAAAACUGGAGACUAAAGUUCAGACCCUUCUUCGUGAGUUGCAAGUCAUCAGAGAAGCAAAGGAGAAGCAGAUUGUGGAGUUAAAGAAGAUGUGUGAGCAAAGCAAUGAGUCUUUGAAAAAUGAGUGGGAGAAAAGGCUUCACAAUGCAGUGGCUGAAAUGGAAAAGGAGAAGUUCAAUAUCCAGAAGAAGCACACAGAAGAUAUGCAGGAGCUGCUGGAGGACACCAACACUCGUCUUGACAAGAUGGAGGAAGAUUAUUUGGAACAGAUAAAGUCAACUAACCAGACUGUCAAAGAACUGGAGGCUCGUGUCCAGCAGUUGACUGUGGAGGCUGAAAAUAGUAAUGUGCAGCGUCAAAAGUUAUCUCAAGAAAAGGCUGAUGCAGAACAGCGUUACCAGGUGCUGUGCUCUGAACUUCAGGAAGCAAAAGCAAGGCACAGCUCCCUUCAGAAAGACAAGGACCAUAUUAUACAGGAAUACGAGAAGAACAUUCAGCAACUACAAAGUAAAUAUGAUGUUGAUAUAAAUUUUAUAAAGCAGGAACAUGCUCUCUCUGCAGCUAAGGCAUCCGAUGCAAUUGAAGAAUUACAGCGUAGUGUAGCUCUAUUAAAACAACAGCUACAAGAUUCAGAACAUCAAAGACAGCAACAGCUGAGGGAUCAAGAAUACAAGCUUCAACAGGAGAAACUUCACUUGGAGCGUGUGUAUGAAAAACAGAUUCAUGGCAUCCGGAAUGAUCUGGAUAAAGAAAGAGGGGAUGCUCAGAAGAAAAUCCGCAAACUGGAAGAGACGUUGAAGGAGAAGGAGGAGCAGCUGACUCGGGUGACAGAGGUACAGAGGCUGCAGGCCCAGCAGGCAGAUGCUGCCCUGGAGGAGUUUAAGCGGCAGGUGGAGCUGAAGUCAGAAAAAGUCUAUGCUGAAAUGAAACAGCAGAUGGAAAAGGUUGAAGCAGAUCUAAGCAGAUCAAAAUCGCUCCGGGAAAAGCAAUCCAAAGAAUUCUCCUGGCAAUUGGAAGAGCUGAAGCAGAGAUACGAGCAACAGAUAGUGGAGCUGAAGCUGGAGCAUGAACAGGAGAAGACGCACCUAUUCCAGCAGCACAACGCAGAGAAGGACUGCCUGGUCCGAGACCACGAACGGGAAAUCGAGAAACUGGAGAAGCAGCUUCGCGCUGCCAUGGCAGAGCACGAGAGUAAAACUCAAGAAUGCAGGAAGCGAGACGGGCAGGUUAUCUGUGAUAUGGAGAACCAAAUCCACAAACUGAAGGAAGAGCUUAUUCAGGUGAACACUCAGCGGAAGCAGCAGCUGCUGGAACUGGGCCAUCAGUGGGAAGAGGAGAAGCAGAGGGCAGCUCGAGACCAUGAGGUGGCACUGAACAAGUUGAAAGUGGAGGCAGAAAAAAGGAUGUUAGACCUGAAAAGGAUACAUACAGCAGAAAUGGAGAAGGCUUUAGAUAAGGCAAACUGCCGGCUAAAGCAGGCUGAAAAGGAGUACAGUCAGAAGCUGGCUAAAUCCUCGCAGAUCAUAGCUGAACUUAAGACAACCAUUUCCUCUCUGACAGAGGAGAGCAACCGGCAGCAGCUUGCCGGAGAGCAGCGGCUCCAGGAAGUUGUACAAAAGUUUGAAGAUAAGAAGCAGCAGCUGAUUACAGAUAAUGACAGAGCAAUCAAGGCCUUAGAAGAUGAAGUGGAAAGUUACCGCAGUCUGGCACGGGCUGCAGAGAAGAAGCUGCAAUGCAGGGAGCUGGAGACCCAUGAGCAGAUGACCCAUAUGCGACAAGAAUAUGAAGCCAUGCUCAAAGGCCUGAUGCCAGCAACUUUGAGACAGGAAUUUGAAGACACCAUUGUAUCCUUGAAAUCUCAGGUAAAUAUUCUGCAGAAAAGAGUCUGUGUCCUCCAGGAAGAGCUGAACCAGGCCAGGAGGUAGCUGCUGGAGCUGUUGGAUUUCUUCGGUUGCCAAAUGGACUGCUUUGAAUAGGCACCAUUCUGCCAGCACAGUUAAUGGUCUGGGUGCUUGUGAGAGGCCACAAAUUCCUGUCUUCCAAGGCCAGCCGUGGCCCUGAGACCCAGAGGGUCUCACUGCUGAUGGGAACAGCCACCUCUCCUCCCUUGCCCCAGUGGCACAGUGAUCCCCACAGGAUUCUGAAGGUCCUGGAGUGCCUUGUGGCUGGAUGUAGCUAUCCCAAGUCCCAGCUCUCCAGCUGCACUCUUAUCCCACCUGGCAUGGAGAUCAAUGGGGAGAGGCUUUGGCAGGCUGAGCUCCAUCCACCCCUCCACCUGACAGCGCUGGCGGGGAGCUCCUCGCCAAACACAGGCUUCAGCUUUGCUGAUUGUAACCCUGUCUGAGCCUGGGCAGGUUUUCCACCUUCCUGGAAUCAACAAGUGAUUCUUCUCAUUAUAGAUAAGGGGUUGUCAUGGCUCUGAUAAGCGAGGAGGUGCUGUGGCAGGUGCCACAAAGACCCGCCUGGGGCAACGGGGAGUUUUGGUAGGAGGAAAUUGUCAGGGUGUAUUUAGUUCAUUGUGAUCAGUAAAAUGAAAUGGAUUUGACUGGUUGUACAAAGACCAUAAGCUUCUUCAUGUCACUUUUGUCUAUAGUAGUUCUUAAACAUUAAACUUAUACAGCAUUGAAAGUUAUACGAUGAUGAAAAAUGAGGAGAAUGACAAGAGUUUAAUUCUCUUA